rnacentral:rRNA from 1 species
UACGAAGGGUGCAAGCGUUACUCGGAAUUACUGGGCGUAAAGCGUGCGUAGGUGGUUUGUUAAGUCUGAUGUGAAAGCCCUGGGCUCAACCUGGGAACUGCAUUGGAAACUGGCUGACUAGAGUGCGGUAGAGGGGUGUGGAAUUCCCGGUGUAGCAGUGAAAUGCGUAGAUAUCGAGAGGAACAUCAGUGGCGAAAGCGAAUCUCUGGGCAACAUCUGACGCUGAGGCACGAAAGCCAGGGGAGCAAACGGG